AAUUUUAUGAAGAAUUACAUUAUUCCUCUUUUUUUCUUUGUUCAUUAUAGUGUGAGAAGAGUGUUUUUCCCCCUUUCUUGGUGUUGAAACUUAGAGGGCUAGAAGAUAUGAGUCAGCAAGCAUAAGUGAUCAAUAUCUGACUGUCACAGCACUGGCAACUCAGGAGAGUACUCAGAAGGCCCUCUUUAAAGUGAGGAAUGAAGGAGAAAGUUAUCAACUAUUCCUUACUGAGGUCAGUAAAGGGAAAUAUUUUAAAAUACGAGUCAUUCCACGCAGAUAAAUAGAGCCACAUAAUACUUUAUGACAUCAAUUUUGCUUUAUCAGAGUAGUUAAGCUCACACUGCAUUUAAAUCUAUUUUGAGUAAAAUCCCUCAUUCUGAACUAGAAGGAGGCAUUUCAACUGUAGCAUUGAACUAGAUUUUUAAAAAUAAAACUAAUUAUAUGUAAUUUACCACGUUUCUUUAUACUAACCUAUAUUAUUUCUACUCAUACUGAUAUUGGACAUUAUGUUUAUCAGAUCCCCCUCAAUUAUUCCUUAUUUGAAAAAUGUCAUUUUAAA
rnacentral:lncRNA from 1 species